UACGUAGGUGGCAAGCGUUGUCCGGAAUUAUUGGGCGUAAAGCGCGCGCAGGCGGUCCUUUAAGUCUGAUGUGAAAGCCCGCGGCUUAACCGCGGAGGGUCAUUGGAAACUGGAGGACUUGAGUGCAGAAGAGGAGAGUGGAAUUCCACGUGUAGCGGUGAAAUGCGUAGAGAUGUGGAGGAACACCAGUGGCGAAGGCGACUCUCUGGUCUGUAACUGACGCUGAGGCGCGAAAGCGUGGGGAGCAAACAGG
rnacentral:rRNA from 2 species